AUUGAACGCUGGCGGCAGGCUUAACACAUGCAAGUCGAGCGGAGAUGAGGUGCUUGCACCUUAUCUUAGCGGCGGACGGGUGAGUAAUGCUUAGGAAUCUGCCUAUUAGUGGGGGACAACAUUCCGAAAGGAAUGCUAAUACCGCAUACGUCCUACGGGAGAAAGCAGGGGAUCUUCGGACCUUGCGCUCAUAGAUGAGCCUAAGUCGGAUUAGCUAGUUGGUGGGGUAAAGGCCUACCAAGGCGACGAUCUGUAGCGGGUCUGAGAGGAUGAUCCGCCACACUGGGACUGAGACACGGCCCAGACUCCUACGGGAGGCAGCAGUGGGGAAUAUUGGACAAUGGGGGGAACCCUGAUCCAGCCAUGCCGCGUGUGUGAAGAAGGCCUUAUGGUUGUAAAGCACUUUAAGCGAGGAGGAGGCUACUGAGACUAAUACUCUUGGGUAGUGGACGUUACUCGCAGAAUAAGCACCGGCUAACUCUGUGCCAGCCGCCGCAGUAA
rnacentral:rRNA from 1 species